CAUCCUCUUUAUCACUAAACCCUGCAAUCAUUCAAAUCAAAUUACAUUUUACAAUCAUAAGAUAAUUGCACAUAAUUUUUUAUAUAUUAUGAACUAUUGGUGGGGCCUAGGUCAAAAUUAUUCUUUAUUUUAUACUUCAAUCAAAUCCUGUGGGCUCAUAUCAGAGAGAAAACCAGAAUGGAAUGGUUGGUUGGUUAAGAAAAGUUUUGGUAUUUUUUAAGGCCAACAAAUCAGGUGACAGCACUCCAUUGUUAGUUCUUGUCAACAUAAUUAACAAUAGAAAACAAUACUUUCCCAGAAGCUCAAACCAGUUAACAUCAACUUCAAAACAAUAUCUGGGAAUGUGUACUGUUCCCAACUGUCUAUAUAAAUAGCAGUUUUGAGUUUUUAAACUACCAAGGUGUUUCAAAUCAGCAUUAACUCUCUUAAAAUUUCAACUCUCAACAUGGUUUUGAUAAAUCAAACAGUUCACAUUAUUUCAAAAGAAGUUAUCUUUUAGCAAAGAAAAAUACGGUAGUGGAUGAAAGAUGACAUCUAUAUUUACCUUACACAUGUUUGGAGGACACAAACUGCAGCCAUGAGGAGAUCUGUUGAAAUCAUGGCAAGGUAGAAUCCUUAACCUUCCUUCUUCAUUCACAUAACCGGGGUUAGUAUUGAUCUCUGAGAAAUAUUCCCUUAUUCCUAAGUGCUUCAAAAUUGACUCAAUGAAAAACAAGUUUGCGUCACUCACAAUCCUCAAAUCACACCUGGAAAAACAAAUGCCACCAUAAAUUUAAUCCACAAAAUCACAUUAAAAAAAAGUAACAAAAUUUGCAUGCAUAGUUACAUACCCUGAAGCAUGAGCUGCUUUAACAGCGGGUAUUACCCUGGGGUGCAAGGGAAUCUUAUGCAGAACCUCUUCAAUGUCCUUAAUGGUUUUACCCUGUGAGUGAAGCUCCAUCAUCAUCUUGUCCUAUAAAUCCAAAACCAAAACAAACAAAAAAUAACAAACGGUUAUUCAUACCAUUAACACAAAAUCUAAAAAAAAAAUAUACAAAAAAGGAAGAAAAAAACUAAUUCUUAGAUAUAUUUUAACUGUUCUUGGUUACAUUGCCGCAUUAUUUGUUAAUCUUUAAUGCAAAAAUAAUUUAACCAAAAUUAGAAAAUGAAACUUUAAUGGCAAAGAACACUUAGCAAACAGGCAUGUAAAGUUUGUUCCUAAAGAAAGUGACUACAAAGGCUUACCAUGAGAGUGUUCCAAGGCAUUGUGGGAAGGAGUUGGUUGAACAAAUCUGUGAAACCCAACUCGUCGAUGACCCAGUUGUCGCUGUCGACAUCCACAAUGGUCUUGUCAAAGUCGAAAACAACCACAAUUUCAGACAUGUUUGUUUUGGUGAAUGCAGAAACUCUGAACGGCCCAGAAGAAGAAACCUUCUUCUCAAGAACAAGGCUCUCUUUGGGUGUCUGGUGGUGCUCUCAAGAUCUGCUCUUGGCUUGGAUUGCACCCUGAAAGAGAAUGAAAAGGGUAUUUGUAGUGAAUGUGGGUUAAGAAAACCCCAAAAAAAUGAAUCUUUGAUUCCAAAGGAAUAUUACCUUGCAUAUGGAUUGUUCCUGGAAGAGAAGAAGGUGACCAAGGAAAAAGUUUCAUUUUUAGCCUCAGAAAUUUCUAGCUGUGACAUUUCAAAUUCAAUCUAAGCCGUUGGUUUUGAAGAAUAUUAGGUGGGAAAAAAAUCAGAGGGUUUGGAGAUUGAGCAUAAAUAUGGGAAUAUUCCAUUAGGGAAUUUGAUGCCUUUGAUGUGACUAUGAAACGCGCUACUCCACCAACAAGUUUACAGGUGCAACCCAUCAGAAUAUUUUGGGUAUAGUCCCUUCCCUUCCACAAACAUUUAACUCAUGCAAUCCAUUUUUAUCAAAAUUUCAUUUAUUACAAUCUUAAGUGUAAUAAUGUUCAUUGAAAAUAAAAUAUAUUCUAUAUUAUUAAAUAAAUUAGCAACAUAGUGUGUGUUCAUUAAAUGUCUUCUAUUGUGUGUCUUUCUAGCAUUGUAAUUAUUGUUAGAACACACUUAAUUUGGAGUAAAUAAAUGUGAUUUGGUGAAAAAAAUAGUAUUUACUUUAUGAAAAAAAAAAUUAAAAAAUUAAUUUAUUUACUUUUUACAAAAAAUUAUCCUUUUUAAAAAAAUUAUUUUAUUUCAAUAUCUAAAAUAGUUAUAAUUUCAAUAUAUUCUUUUCAUUUUUUUCGAUUAUAAAUAACCAGCACGUUAUUAUAUUAAGACGGACUAUAGGGGUGAAGGGGAGUCACCUUUUUCUCUUCAAAAUUAUAAUAUAGAUUUUUCUAAAAUAAAAAUUAUUUUUUACGUGUUAAAUUUAAACAAUUUUUUACAUGAAUUAUAUGACUUCUAUAUUAUAGUAUAGCGCAUUUUAUUAUUAGUUUAAAUAUUAAUUCAGACUAUUUACACUCUUGAGAAAAUAUUUAAUCUACAACUUUUUAUAUCCAUACUGUUUAUUCUUAAUUUUAAAAGUUUUAUUCCUUUUAUUAUUACAUUAAAAGAAUAUAUUAUCAAUAAAAGAUCAAAUUUUUUAAAUAAGAUUUCAAAGUAAUUAAAAAAAAACUGAAAAUAUCACUAUUACCUAGGAUGAAUGUUGCAAACACCCCAUAAAAUAUAAACUACGCACACAAUAUACAUUUUUUAUAUUAUCAUAAACUAUAGCAUAGGAGUCUAAUAUAAUAAAUAUAUUUAACUAAAUCAUAUUGAAAUAUAUAAAAUCUAACCGAAGUUCAUAGAAAAUCUUAGAUAUCUCUAUGGAAUAGUAAUGAAAUAACCAUUAAAAAAAUGACUCAAUUAAAAAUUAAAUCAACUUAAAACUAAGCAUAAAUCAUAUAUACUAUAGUUUACUCUAAAGAAUCUAUUUCAUAUCAGUUGUCAUGCAGAAUAAAUUUAUAAUGAAUUUAAGUAUAAAUAAACAGUAGAUAUAUAAGUAUUCUGUUAUUAUCUCAUACUUUUGUCUCCAUAAGUUUUUGAAGAAGAAUAGUAAAAAGAAGAAAAGAAGACUCAGUAAAAAUUCAAUGAAAUCACAAAAAAAAAAUAGAGAGAGACAAAAAAAAAUGGUGGUAUGAUAUUGAUCCAAAAUUAAAGUUGAAGCAAAACAUCAAUAACCAAAGUGUUGUUUGGUAUGUCUGCGGAACACCACCAAGAUUUCUUGUCAAUCAAGAUUAGUCAAAUGUUAUCCAAUGUUCAGAGAAAAAAAAAAAUUCCCAAAGAUGUAUAGAAAACAUGUAUUGGUAUUUGAUAGAAAUUAUAGUGGUCCACAACUUAAGACCAAUUCCAACAUUUAACAUUUGCAACUUUAUUAUAGUAUAAGUUUGGUGAAGGUUAAUUGGGAAAAAAGCUUAAAAGUUACUAUGAUACAUUCUAAACUAAGAACUGGUUAUGGGCGAAGUGGUAGGGCUUUGGGCAAAGCCUCCAAAACAGAGAGUGACAGAGUCUGAAGCUUGCAAUCAGAGGUAAUGAAGGGAGAUUUGUGCUCCAUUGACACUUUGCUGAUCAAUUGCAGCAAUACUUGUUCAAGUUCUUCUCCAUCACUCCAUCCAUGAAUCUCAGCCUUAACAACUGAAGGGUCUUUGCAUAUCAAGUCCCACACUGGAAAGUUCUUCCUUGGCAUCAUAAAGUCCUUCUCUUUCAGCCUCAAACUUGGGCAAUAGUCUCCACUCCCAUCUCCAAGGUAGAUCAACCUCUUAUCCUCUUCUGAUAUUGAAUCUUGCAUCCUCUUUAUCACCAAACCCUGCAAUCAUUCAAAUAAAAUAACAUUUUACAAUCAAAAGAUAAUUAUACAUAAUUUUUUAUUUAUUAUGAACUAUUGGUGGGGCCUAGGUCAAAAUUGUUCUUUAUUUUAUAUUUCAAUCAAAUCCAGUAGGCUCGUAUCAGAGAGAAAACAAGGAUGGCAUGUUUGGUGGUUAAGAAAAUAUUUGGUAUUUUUUAAGGCCAAGAAUUCAGGAGACAAGUUCCAUUAUAGGAUCAAUUCAUGACUCAUAAACACUUGAGCCACGUUAGGAGCAAUCUUUGUGAUUAAAAAUGGAAAAAAUAGUGUUCCAUCAGCUAGAGCCAGUUAAGAACAACUUGAAAACAAUAUCUAGAAACGUGUAUUGUUGCCAACUGUUGUAUACAUUUAAGAAACUUUUCAUCAUGAUUUAGACAAAUGACAAAACAAGAUAGAAAAAGGAAGUUGUGUAUUUACCUUGCACAUGUUUGGAGGGCACAAAGUGCAGCCAUGGGAAGCUUUGUUGAAAUCAUGGUAAGGAAGAAUCCUUAACCUCCCUUCUUCAUUCACAUAACCGGGGUUAGUAUUGAUCUCUGAGAAAUAUUCCCUUAUUCCCAAAUGCUUCAAAAUAGUCUCAAUGAAAUACGUGUUUGCAUCACUCAGAAUCCUCAAAUCACACCUGAAAAACAAAUGCCACCGUAAAUUUAAUCCACGAAUCAUAUUUACCAAAAAAAUAAAUAAAAGAAGAUGAUCAUAAUUUUGUAUGAGAGAUGCAGAGUUACGUACCCUAAAGCAUGAGCUGCUUUAAUAGCAGGAAUAACUCUGGGGUGCAAGGGAAUCUUAUGCAGAACCUCUUCAAUGUCCUUCAUGCUUUUACCAUGUGAAUGAAGCUCCUUCAUCAUUGUGUCCUUUAAAAAACCAAAAAAAACAAAAAAACUCGGUUAUUCAUGUCAUUCAAAUCAUGCAUUCUGCAAAGUUCAGUUUAAACAAAACAGAGUAUAAACCCAAAAAAUGUGGCAACAAAAAGGCUUACCAUGAGAGUGUUCCAAGGCAUGGUGGGAAGAAGCUGGUUGAACAAAUCGGUGAAACCCAAUUCAUCGACGACCCAGUUGUCGCUGUCGACAUCCACAAUGGUUUUGUCGAAGUCGAAAACAACCACGAUUCCAGACAUUAUCUGUUUUGGGGAAUGAAAAAAAGAAACCUUCUUUCUGAAGAAUAAGGCUCUGUUUGGGUGUGUGUAUAGUGCUCUGAAGAUUGGUGGUUCUUGGCUUGGUUCUACAAUGGAAAGAAAAAGGGUUAUUUAUAGUAAUGGUGAAUGAAUGAAGAAAAAAAGAAUCUUAGAUUCCAAAGGAAUAUUACACGGAUACUUCGUGGUAGCAAAGAUGGAGGCUCAAAAUUAAAAACACAAAUGUGGCCGUUUUAUUUUACACUCAUCCAAAACCUUUCGGUGCGUUUAAAAUUCAAUCUAGACCGUUGGAUGAAAUCAUAUAGGUAGGCGAAAGGAUCGGAGGGCGUAGGUGGAUUGGACCUAAGAGUAAAACACGGGAAUAUUGACAGGGAAUUGGAUGCACUUGAGGAGCCUCACCUGAGUGUGUGAAAUCCACUUCUCACAAACGCAUGAGAAUAUUCUGAGUAUAGUCCGUUCAGUUAAUUUCGCCAAUUUCAUUUUUUUUUCUGUUAUGAAUUAAUAAAUAUUGGAUUUUAGAAUCAAUAUUUACCUCUAUAUAGAUAAAUUCUUUUUAGAUUUAUAAUAAAUUAAAAUAAUGUAAUAUAUUGUAAUCAAAUGGUUUUGAUUGAUGAUGUCUUUUGAAAAAUUAUAGAAUAUUACUCAAAAAUUCAAGAUGAUAAAAAAGUAAAUUGGUAGAGAUAACCAAUUCAGAAAAUAAGUAUCAUGAUAAAAAUAAAAAAUAAAAGUGUGAUUUGAAAGGAUUUUUUUAAUAUUGUUUUUAUAUUAAAGUAAAAAGAAAUAGAUAAAGUUAGUUUUUAUUUAUAUAUUGUUAAGACUAUUAUGAUUUGAUAAAUUAUUGAUGUCUAUCAUUCUCAUCACAUAUUAGUUAGACAUAAAUUAACCAAUAUUGAUAGAGUAUCUUUUUUAUGUAUGUGAACUCAAUUUUUCAAUUUAUAUAUUUUUCAAAAUUUCUAUAGUGAUUUUUUAUCAUCUGACACCAAUUUUUUUUAAUAAUUUAUUAAUUUUUUUGUUUCAAUGUGAAAUGAAAAGCAAUUAUAUUAAUAUUAACGAAAUUUUUUACCAAUAUUAAAUGAAAGAAAUUUUCAAUUGAUAUUAAUUGAAUAGUCAUAAGAAAAAUUAUUUAAAAAAUUAUAAAAAUCAUUUUGAUGUUAAUCUAAAUAAUUGUAGAAAACCCACAAAAUUAAGAAGAAACUUUAUCAAUGUUAUUAGAAAUUUAUUAUAAAUUAUUUUAUAUUUAAAUAAUUUUAUAUAAAUACUAAUUUAAAUAUUUUAUACAAAAUUAAUAAAUUUAAAUUACCUUGUUGAGAUAAACGUUUAAACAAUGAGAUCAAUUUAAAUUUUAUAUAUUUAAUUUUUUAAAAUUAUAAUAUUACUUAUCCAAACAAAGAUUAUGAUAUUUUUUUAAUAUACUUUGAUUUAUUAAAUAUGUUGUUACGUUUGGAGUUAUUUUUAACAUAUUAAUGAUAUUUAUUUGAUAUUCAAAUAUAUUAUUUAUACUUAUUCAACUAACAACAUUUAAAUCAUACUCUUCAAAUGACUUUACCAAAUUUUCAUUUUUUAUUCGUUCUCCUAAACUUACAUAAAAAGAUAAAUAUUGUGUAAAUAAUCUUUUAUCUAAUUAACUAUUAAAGUUUUAGCUACUAAUUGUUUUAUAUUCGAAAGUUGAUAAUUAAAAUCUUAAUAGUUAAUUAAAUAUUAAUUUAAAAAAUUAAUUUAUUAAUUUUAUUAAUAAUAGAAAUUACUUUUGAUAUUAAUAACUUUUUUAGUCUUUAAAAUAAUAUAUAAUUUAAUCACUAGUGAUUGAUUAUUUAUUAUUUCUAAAAUUAGUUUCUAUUUAUUAAUUUUUUUUAGUAAAAGUUAUAUAUUUUAAAAAAAAACUUUAAAUUUAAAUUAAUCAUACAAAAUCAAUUCAAUUUGUAAGGUGAGAUUUAACUCCACUGCUUUUUCUAACAUAAAUAAUAUAUAAAUUUCACAUUAAUAACUUAUUAACAAAUUUAUAUAAAAGAAUAAUAUUUAAUAUAAAAUAUUAAGAUGAUAGAGUUAUAAUUUUCUACUUGCAUAUUAUUUAUUUUACAAAAUUUUAAUAAAAGGAACUAACACUAAAGGAAAAAAUGGUUUUAACGGGGUAUUUAUUUUUAUAUUAUUCAUGAUUAAAAUCUCUAUUAAGUCAUUUACCUAGUGUUGCAGUUUUCUCGUUAAACCAUCCCUCAGCAAGGUGUUUUCUGGGUUUUUUUAAACCUCAGGACAAAUCUUUCAAAACUCUUAUUAAAUAUCAUGGGUUUAGAAACCUCCGUAAAAUACCAGGGGUUUCAAAAACCUUUGUUAAAUACCAUGGGUUUAAAAUUUUUUGUAAAAUAUCAUGGGUUUCAAAACCUCUGGUAAAUACCAUGAGUUUAAGAACUUUCAUAAAAUACCACGAGUUUCAAAAUUUUCGUAAAAUGACUUGUCGUCUGAAAUAACCUUCAACCUUAUUUUUCACCAUCUCUAACGAUCCUCCUGACUUCUUUAUUCCAUCAUAGACACACUUGUCCCCGACACAAGCUCAAUAGCCACCAACGACAGUCCUAGCAAGGAAUCAUAAUUUAGUCACACCUAUGUCUAUUAUACCUAAGGAAAAAUAAGGCACUAUCAUUGUUUCUUCCAUCACCUUACUACCUCAACUUGGGUCACAAGUCAUUCUUACCUAGCUCGACAACAGUUGAUGUUUAUCACUGCUUUAUAUAUCCUAAAUAAUUGUAUUAUCUGUUAGAUGUGGACUUCAAAGUCAUGUGUGUAAAAUAAAUUUUUGAAAACUUAGAAAACUUAUUGUAUUGUAAAGUUAUGCUUUUAAAAUUUUAGAAAAUUUAGUUAUAAAAUAUAUUGAAACUAUAUAGUUUUUAAUGGUUUAUUUAUAAAUAGAUUUAAUUAUACUUAUUUAUUAAAGUUUGAAAAAUCUGGAGCAUUUUAUUGAAGUUCUACCAUAAAUCUUUGAAAUUUAACAAAGGUUAAAAAAACUUUCAUUGUCUUGUUGAGAUUUUAGAAUAAAUCUUUAGAACUUAACGAAGGUUAAAAAAAUCUCCGUUAUUUUGCUGAAAUUUUAGAAUAACCUUGGAACUUAAUGAAUUAUUACAAAGUGGAAUUUAAACUUAACUCAACUCCAUAAAAUCAGCUCAUGAAGUGAGGUUUGCACCCACUUAUAUAUAAUGAAAUGCCUUAAUCUAUAGUCGAUGAGGGAUCUUCAACUUAAAUGUUAAAAAACUUUCAUAAUUAAAUUAAUUUCUAAAAUUAAAUUAAGUUACUCUCAAUAAUCUCUGUUAAAACUUUUUUUUUAAGUGUAAUAGAUCACAUAUUCACAUGAAACAUGUCUAAAUCAGAUGCAAUGACAAAGGAGGUCUUGUUAAUGUCCGAAACACUUGUUAUAAUUAACAUUUGAGUAUUAUUAUUAUUAACAUGUGUUUGAUUGUGGUGUGAUCAUAUUGAUGCAUUAAUUAAAGUUUUAUUAUUAUUAUUAUUAUCUUCUUGGCGAGUUCUUAUAUCAUCAGAGUAUAAGAAAUGGUUUUGACCUACUAAUGGAAAAUUAUGAUUCUGCCACCAUUUUUGGUCGAGUUUUUUAAUCCUCUGAUUCUAUAUCUGAGGUUACAUUACCAUUAGCUGGAGAUGACCAAACAAGGGUCCCAACAUGCAUGCAUGUUGUUUUUCAACGCCAUUAAUGCUAGUGUUUCUUAAGUAUUCUUUAGUAUGUCAGCGGAACACCAAGAUUUCUGGUCAAUAAGAUUCUAGUCAAAUGUUUUCCACAGUAAAACAAAACAAUGUUCAGAGCAUAAAAUAUUCCCAAAAGAUGUAUAGAAAACAUGUAUUGGUAUUUGAUAGAAAUUAUAGUGGUCCACAACUUAAGACCAAUUCCAACAUUAACAUUGGCAACUUUAUUAUAGUAUAGCUUUGGUGAAGGUUAAUUGGAAAAAAAGCUUUAAAGUUAUUAUGAUACAUUUUUUUCAAAUACACUAAACUAAGAAGUGGUUAUGGGCGAAGUGGUAGGCCUUUGGGCAAAGCCUCCAAAACGGAGGCUGACAGAGUCUGAAGCUUGCAGUCAGAGGAAACGAAGGGAGAAUUGUGCUCCAUUGAUAUUUUGUUGAUCAAUUGCAGCAAAACCUGUUCAAGUUCUUCUGCAUCACUCCAUCCAUGAAUCUCAGCCUUAACAACUGAAGGGUCUUUGCAUAUCAAGUCCCACACUGGAAAGUUCUUCCUUGGCAUCAUAAAGUCCUUCUCUUUCAGCCUCAAACUUGGGCAAUAGUCUCCACUCCCAUCUCCAAGGUAGAUCAUCCUCUUAUCCUCUUCUGAUAUUGAAUCUUGGAUUCUCUUUAUCACUAAACCCUGCAAUCAUUCAAAUAAAAUUACAUUUUACAAUCAUAAGUAUCGGUGGGACCUAGGUCAAAAUUAUUCUUUAUUUUAUAUUUCAAUCAAAUCCAGUAUGCUCAUAUCAGAGAGCAAACAAUAAAUUUUGGUAUUUUUUAAGGCCAAGAAUUAAGGAGACAAGUUCCAUUGCUAUAGGAUUAAUCCAUGACUCAUGAACACUUGAGUCACGUUAGCAGCAAUCUUUGUGAUUAAAAAUGGAAAUAAUAGUGUCUCGUCAGCUAGAGCCAGUUAAGAUCAACUUGAAAACAAUAUCUAGAAACGUGUACUGUUGUAUACAUUUAAGCAAAUUUGUCAUCAUGAUUUAGACAAAUGAUAAAACAAGAUAGAAAAAGAAGUUGUGUAUUUACCUUGCACAUGUU
rnacentral:lncRNA from 1 species